rnacentral:sRNA from 1 species
CUUCGUCGAUUUGCUGCGGACAGAUAAAGUGAAUGUGAGUGUCGAUGCCGCCGGCGGUGACAAUGCAGCCUUCGCCCGCGAUAACUUCGGUGCACGCGCCGACGAUCAUGGGGUUGGGCUUUCCGGUAAUGGGAUCUGGAUACGCAGAGCCAAUGCCGGACUGGAUGCCGGGAUUGCCAGCGUGGCCGAUGCCGGCGAUGAGGCCGUGUUUGAUGCCGAUGUCGGCUUUGAUGACGCCGAGGAGGGGGUCGAGGAUGAGGGCGUUGGUGAUGACGAGGUCGAGCGUUUGGGCGUCGGUGGCAGUGGGCGAUUGUCCCAUGCCGUCGCGGAUG